rnacentral:rRNA from 1 species
GGAGGAAUAUUGGUCAAUGGGACGAGAGUCUGAACCAGCCAAGUAGCGUGAAAGAUGGCUGCCCUAUGGGUUGUAAACUUCUUUUAUACGGGAAUAAAGUGAGGCACGUGUGCCUUUUUGUAUGUACCGUAUGAAUAAGGAUCGGCUAACUCC